AUGAGAAGGCUUAAGUUUUCAAAAUCAAAUGGAAGGUCAAAUCAAGCAAUUAUUAAGCAAUGCUAUAACUCAAAUCACACUGAAACUGGAGGAUCUCCUAUCGAGAGGAAGCUUGCAUUCAGAAGACGUGCCAUCAUACACAUCAGUUACAAAUAUACCAGCUCUCUUCCACACAAAACUGCAUUUGACAUGGUCGAAUUGGCUGAACAUUUCGUAAAUGAAGAACCUGACUGCUCACAGUUGUACGUUUCUGUAGAGCCAUCAUCACUGGUAACAUUUAGAUCUUGCACAAGAUCAUUAAUCUUUUGCUUGACAAGGCGAGAGAUUCUUUUGGCUGCAGUUCCAUCAAAAAGCAACAAUCCCAAAUACCCAUCAGCUCCAAUCUUGCUUAGGUUGUUUUAA
rnacentral:rRNA from 1 species